rnacentral:tRNA from 1 species
GGAGGCGUGCCCGAGCGGCCGAAGGGAGCGGUCUUGAAAACCGUAGAGGUGGCAACACCUCCGUGGGUUCAAAUCCCACCGCCUCCGCCC